rnacentral:rRNA from 1 species
GCUAAGGAGGGGCCAGAGGCUGGGGGAAUGCUGAGGGGGCAAGCGGUGGCCGGAGUUAUUGGGCGUAAAGCGCGCGCAGGCGGGUUCGUAAGGCGGAGGUGAAAGCCCACGGCUGAACCGGGGAGGGUCAUUGGAAACUGGGAGACUUGAGUGCAGAAGAGGAAAGUGGAAUUCCAAGUGUAGCGGUGAAAUGCGUAGAGAUUUGGAGGAACACCAGUGGCGAAGGCGACUUUCUGGUCUGCAACUGACGCUGAGGCGCGAAAGCAUGGGGAGCAAACAGGAUUAGAUACCCCGGUAGUC